UUUAAAUCCUUCUGCCUCCCUUCUUCUCUAAAUUGUCAAGUUUUCAAUUUAUUAGCGUCAUGGCAACAAAUCCUACCCAUCAUUCCACCAGUAGUUCUGUCACUUAUGCCACCUAUUGCUCUUAUACCUCCACUUUCUCCUCCCACAAUCCCUUGCUCAUUAGCACCUCUCCCUAUCCGCCCAUCCGUGCUUAGGCUGCUGCCUGUGUUGCAAAAUGGUGAAGAGAGGAUGAGUGACUCAGAUUCUGAUCAAGAUGACUCGGGCUCUGUCGAGUCUGCUUCGAGAUCAACUGAGGAUUAUGAAUUCUCGGAAGGAAGUCGACUAGCAAGAGAGAGGAAGCAGAAGCUAGUGCAGGAAAUCAUGAUGAAGCGG
rnacentral:misc_RNA from 1 species